AUUGAACGCUGGCGGCAGGCCUAACACAUGCAAGUCGAGCGAGCGGCGGACGGGUGAGUAAUGUAUGGGGACUGCCCGAUGGAGGGGGAUAACUACUGGAAACGGUAGCUAAUACCGCAUACUAUCGGAUAACCCAUAUGGGAUUAGCUAGUAGGUGAGGUAACGGCUCACCUAGGCGACGAUCCCUAGCUGGUCUGAGAGGAUGAUCAGCCACACUGGGACUGAGACACGGCCCAGACUCCUACGGAGGCAGCAGUGGGGAAUAUUGCACAAUGGGGGCAACCCUGAUGCAGCCAUCCCGCGUGUAUGAUGAAGGCCUUCGGGUUGUAAAGUACUUUUAGCGGGGAGGCGGUACCCGCAGAAUAAGCACCGGCUAACUACGUGCCAGCAGCCGCGGUAAUUC
rnacentral:rRNA from 1 species